rnacentral:tRNA from 1 species
CGCAGGGUAGGGAAGUUGGUCAUCCCGCUGGGCUCAUAACCCGGAGAUCGCGCGUUCGAAUCGCGCCCUUGCAACCA